rnacentral:rRNA from 1 species
ACGUAGGUGGCGAGCGUUGUCCGGAUUUACUGGGCGUAAAGGGCGUGCAGGCGGUUUGUUAAGUGCAGAGUGAAAGCUCCCGGCUCAACUGGGAGAGGUCUUUGCAUACUGGCAAACUCGAGGGAGGCAGAGGAAAGUGGAAUUCCCGGUGUAGUGGUGAUAUGCGUAGAUAUCGGGAGGAACACCUGUGGCGAAGGCGGCUUUCUGGGCCUUACCUGACGCUGAGACGCGAAAGCGUGGGGAGCGAACCGGAUUAGAUACCCGGGUAGUCCACGCCGUAAACUAUGGACACUAGGUGUGGGGGGUAUCGACCCCCUCCGUGCCGAAGCUAACGCAAUAAGUGUCCCGCCUGGGGAGUACGGCCGCAAGGCUA